CCCAAAGAUUUUAUUGCCCUUUAGAAUGGGGCCUCGCCGUUGAGAUUAGAUUAGUUGGUGGGGUAAUGGCCUACCCAAGUCGACGAUCCAUAGCUUGGUCUGAGAGGAUGAUCAGCCACACUGGGACUGAGACACGGCCCAGACUCCUACGUGAGGCAGCAGUGGGGAAUAUUGGACAAUGGGCGAAAGCCUGAUCCAGCAAUGCCGCGUGAGUGAUGAAGGCCUUAGGGUUGUAAAGCUCUUUUACCAGGGAUGAUAAUGACAGUACCUGGAGAAUAAGCUCCGGCUAACUCCGUGCCAGCAGCCGCGGUAAUACGGAGGGAGCUAGCGUUGUUCGGAAUUACUGGGCGUAAAGCGCACGUAGGCGGCUUUUCAAGUCAGGGGUGAAAUCCCGGGGCUCAACCCCGGAACUGCCCUUGAAACUGGAUGGCUAGAAUACUGGAGAGGUGAGUGGAAUUCCGAGUGUAGAGGUGAAAUUCGUAGAUAUUCGGAAGAACACCAGUGGCGAAGGCGACUCACUGGACAGUUAUUGACGCUGAGGUGCGAAAGCGUGGGGAGCAAAUCAGGAUUAGAUACCCUGGUAGUUCCAGCGCCGUAAGACGAUGAUAAACUAUGCUGUACCGGGCUUCAUGGA
rnacentral:rRNA from 1 species